rnacentral:rRNA from 1 species
UGGGGAAUAUUGCACAAUGGGGGAAACCCUGAUGCAGCGACGCCGCGUGAACGAAGAAGGUAUUCGUAUCGUAAAGUUCUGUCCUAUGGGAAGAUAAUGACAGUACCAUAGAAGAAAGUUCCGGCUAAAUACGUGCCAGCAGCCGCGGUAAUACGUAUGGAGCGAGCGUUGUCCGGAAUUAUUGGGCGUAAAGGGUACGCAGGCGGUUUAAUAAGUCGAAUGUUAAAGAUCGGGGCUCAACCCCGCAAAGCAUUGGAAACUGAUAAACUUGAGUAGUGGAGAGGAAAGUGGAAUUCCUAGUGUAGUGGUGAAAUACGUAGAUAUUAGGAGGAAUACCAGUAGCGAAGGCGACUUUCUGGACGCAAACUGACGCUGAGGUACGAAAGCGUGGGGAGCAAACAGG